CGGGCCUCAGAAGGGAUGGAGAGAUCGAUGCCAAUCGCUUUCCCAAGCAGUUCCCCCACCACGCGCUGGAGAUGAUGGGGCGGGGGAGAAGCAGAGGGGCCCGUCACAUGAAUGUUGUUCCCUCUCUAGGAAGGGAGGAAGAGAGGGAGGGAGCGAAGGGAGGGAGGAAAGGAAAGAGGGGAAGGGAGGGGGCACGAGGGAGGGGUGUGAUCAGAGUAGAUUUUCCCUCGCCUCCCUCGGUCCGAGGCCCAAAUAUACACAACUGAGCCUCCGCUUCUCCCCUCCCCCCUAGGUUCCCAGCACCACCAUUUUGCUCUCUUCCUUCCCCUCACCACGAUACCGCGCUCUCCCCCACCCCAGCCACGGCCUCCCCGGCUUUCCUCCCCCGACUACGGCUCGCACUCCACCCCACCUCCAGUUUGGGCUCUCCCAGGCUUAAGAGCCUGCCGGAGAAAAGGCACCUAAAUCUAAUGCUACACAGAGAAGCGGAGCCUCCAUCUUGCGCUGCUCCGCGUUCUCCAUUUUGGGCCACCCAUGGAGGGGGGGGUCUCCGUGGAGGCCCCGAGGGAGAGUUGGGCGAGGGAAGGAAGAGAGAAUCUUCAGCGAGGGUAGUCGAAAAGAAGAGUCCGUGCAGUAGAAAGCCACUCUAGGAGUAGGAGCCUCCCGGACCUUUGACCGCCGAGAGCUCUCUACGCGGGGGAGAAAAACUCGGGGAGGGCCUGUCCCCUCCGAAGCGCCGCUUUUCCUAGGACAGGAAGAAGUGACCUAUUACAUGUCUCCAUUGCUGUUAUAGAAGUUCCCAGAUUGAUACAAUAGUGUGUAGCUAAGA